CCUACGGGGGGCAGCAGUGAGGAAUAUUGGUCAAUGGACGAGAGUCUGAACCAGCCAAGUAGCGUGAAGGAUGACUGCCCUAUGGGUUGUAAACUUCUUUUAUAUGGGAAUAAAACGUUCCACGUGUGGGAUUUUGUAUGUACCAUAUGAAUAAGGAUCGGCUAACUCCGUGCCAGCAGCCGCGGUAAUACGGAGGAUCCGAGCGUUAUCCGGAUUUAUUGGGUUUAAGGGGAGCGUAGGUGGGUUGUUAAGUCAGUUGUGAAAGUUUGCGGCUCAACCGUAAAAUUGCAGUUGAAACUGGCAGUCUUGAGUACAGUAGAGGUGGGCGGAAUUCGUGGUGUAGCGGUGAAAUGCUUAGAUAUCACGAAGAACUCCGAUUGCGAAGGCAGUUCACUGGACUGCAACUGACACUGAGGCUCGAAAGUGUGGGUAUCAAACAGGAUUAGAUACCCCAGUAGUC
rnacentral:rRNA from 1 species